UGUGGGGCUCAAACCCACAAACUGUGAGCUCAUGACCUGAGCCAAAACCAAGUCGGAUGCUUAACCCACUUGAGCCCACCCAGGCGCCCCGAGAAACUUGACAUUUUAGCCUUUAGGGCCUUAUGUAGAGUGGGAUGGUUCCGUUAAGCUUUGAAAACAUUGGAAAUUUCUGCCCUGGAUUUCUAGGAAUACCUUCACUGACCGACUACUAGGGUCCAGGGAUCCCUCAUCACCAGGAUGGAAACUUCUGACCCAGGGAAAAGGAAGGAGCGGGGAGACUGAGAGGUGGAAGCAGACGUUUGCAGAGAAACUAACGCGUGAGGCAUUGGCUGCUUUCUCUCUUUAGCCAUCCUGAUGCACCGCGAGGCUGCUCUAUUUUCCCCCUUUGAGCUAGGUCAACAGGGGCUCAAAGCGGUCAAAGUAGUGCAUUCUGGGUCAGGAGCUAAUCUGUGUCUUCUGAUUCCAAGCCUGGAGUUCUUCCCUGGACAGCAGCUUGCGUCUCGUGAGAGUGUGAGGAGGGAGGUCGUCCCUCGGUUGCGGUGCUCUCCGUGCAUCCCAAGGCUCAAGAGGACUGUAACGAUGGCCUCAUCUCAUCCCCUAACUGGGGCAGGAAUCCUUGUCGGGCACCUCGGACCAAUUGCCAGCCACCUCCACCUGCAUACUUGUUGUGACGAGGAGCUCACUCCUCGAAAGGUAGCCCCUUCUCUCCCUGGUUCGCUCUUGUGGAGAAAAAGUUCCUCUUUGGGUUGAGUUGAAGUCUGCAAUCGUUGGACACACAUCACACAUGUUCCCGCUGUUCUCCGGGAUUUAAGGACAGCUUCAUGUCCCAGGUCAUCUUUGUUCCCACACUCCCUCCCCCUCGCCCCCCCUCCCCCAGAGUACCUGUCUCUGAUACCCUGUGAACUUUGCACAGGAUCAUUUUUAGGUUCUUCGUUCCCUGGAGUUCCACCCACUCCAGCUGGCCAGUGUCCCCCCUGCAAAAAAGCGGUGCCCAGAACAAACACAGCCAACCCCUGCGGAGGUGACCCGAGCGGGGCAAAGUGCGGGACAGGUUUCACCUCCUAUCAUCUACACUCUGUGACUCUAUUAGUGCAGCGCAAAAACAGUUGCAUCAAAUUUGCUCACUUGAAGCUUGUAUUUUAAGCAAAUAUCCUGCAAUCUUUCUCACCUAAACUACAUCUGUGUCUCGUGUUUGUAAUUAGUUUAAAUGGACCCAAGUUAAGAAAUAUCAUGUAGCCGUCACCUUAGAAGGCAAGCUUUCAUGGGCUCUUCAUUAUAUGACCCUCCGUCCCUGGUUCAGGGACCGUUGUUAUGAUUUCUCUGAUACUUGCUUUCUUCCUGUGCUUAGUUUACUAUGUAUGCGUAAUGUUUAGUUUUGCCUGUUUGGGAACUAUAUAUAAAUGGGAUCAUGCUGUAUUGUAUUGCUUUACAGUUUGCUUUUCCUCAAAACUAUUUGAGAUCCAUCUAUGUUGAAUAUGUAAGGGUAGUUUGUUCGUUAUUGUUGCUGUAGAGUAUUCCACUGUAUGAAUAUUUUAAAAUUUAUUUAUCCUA